rnacentral:rRNA from 1 species
CUUAGAUGUUCUGGGCCGCACGCGCGCUACACUGACAGAGCCAGCGAGUACACCACCUUGGCCGAAAGGUCUGGGUAAUCUUGUUAAACUCUGUCGUGCUGGGGAUAGAGCAUUGCAAUUAUUGCUCUUCAACGAGGAAUGCCUAGUAAGCGCAAGUCAUCAGCUUGCGUUGAUUACGUCCCUGCCCUUUGUACACACCGCCCGUCG